rnacentral:rRNA from 1 species
CCUACGGGAUGCAGCAGUGGGGAAUAUUGGGCAAUGGGCGCAAGCCUGACCCAGCAACGCCGCGUGAAGGAAGAAGGCCUUCGGGUUGUAAACUUCUUUUGUCAGGGACGAAGAAAGUGACGGUACCUGACGAAUAAGCCACGGCUAACUACGUGCCAGCAGCCGCGGUAAUACGUAGGUGGCAAGCGUUAUCCGGAUAUACUGGGUGUAAAGGGCGUGUAGGCGGGAGAGCAAGUCAGACGUGAAAUUCCAGGGCACAACCCUGGAACUGCGUUUGAAACUGUUCUUCUUGAGUGAUGGAGAGGCAGGCGGAAUGCCGGGUGUAGCGGUGAAAUGCGUAGAUGUACGGAGGAACACAAGUGGCGAAGGCGGCCUGCUGGACAUUAACUGACGCUGAGGCGCGAAAGCGUGGGGAGCAAACAGGAUUAGAUACCCGGGUAGUC